rnacentral:rRNA from 1 species
GACGAACGCUGGCGGCGUGCUUAACACAUGCAAGUCGAACGGAAAGGCCCUGCUUUUGUGGGGUGCUCGAGUGGCGAACGGGUGAGUAACACGUGAGUAACCUGCCCUUGACUUUGGGAUAACUUCAGGAAACUGGGGCUAAUAUCGGAUAGGAGCUCCUGCUGCAUGGUGGGCGUUGGAAAGUUUCGGCGGUUGGGGAUGGACUCGCGGCUUAUGAGCUUGUUGGUGGGGUAGUCGUUGACCAAGGCUUUGACGGGUAGCCCGCCUGGGAGCUGAGACGGGGUCCAUACGCCUACGAGACGGCGCAGACGCCAACGGGAGGCAACGGUCGGAAGUAUUACACAGUGGGCGGGAGCCUGAUGCGACGACGCCGGGUGCGGAAUGCCGGCCUUCGGGUUAAGAACCGCUGUCGCCUGAGACGAAGCGUGAGUGACGGUAAUGAAUAAAGAAGCACCGGCUAACUACGUG